ACACCUCAACUCUCAUGGUCCGCCAUGAUGAGCUUGGACUUUGGGGGUCUUGCCGGCCUAGUGUCGGCUCCUCUCAAAUGGAUCAGCUUGCCAGUGUUUGGUGGCAUCACAGGUGUGAUAACUAUCUACGCUUGUGGUUUUCUGCCAUGUAACCUUCAGUGAUGGAGGUUCGCUGGAGCUCACAGAUGUCUCUCCUUGGGGAGGACAGCUUUUGAAC
rnacentral:misc_RNA from 1 species